GGCUGGUCCAAGUGCAGUGGUGACACAAAUAAUUGAUCACAACCAGUUACAGAUUUCUUUGUUCCUUCUCCACUCCCACUGCUUUACUUGACUAACCUUAA
ensembl:misc_RNA Y_RNA Y RNA